rnacentral:tRNA from 1 species
GUGGUUGUGGCUCAGUGGUAGAGCACAUGUAAGGCCCUGGGUUCGAUCCUCAGCACCACG